UUAGGCCACACCAAUUUGAUUCCUUGUUCGACGGACCCGCCCGCACCUAUUUUUUUCAAAACAGAUUUUUUUUAUUUUUUUUUUAUUCCCGCAUCCGGAAAUGUAAUCAUGUCCAUUUCCCGCACCGUUUUUUUGUAAAUAUUAUAAAAAGAUAUCAACAUUUGUUUUUAAAAUCACAGUCUAACCUGUAUAUAAUGAUUUUAAACAUAAAAGCACCCCUCCACACUUUGUAAAUAUCUGUGAGAAUAUUUGUUUCAGCAUGAAACAUAUUUAUCUAAAGCGGGAGUGCUCCGAUAUAAAUUUAUAUCAGCGGGAAUACCUGUAAAGAACAAAAAAAUGGUUACUUUCCCCCUUACUUAUAUUCCCUAUCAAAAAAUUUUCGUUGUUAGAAUAAAGUACAAAGAACUUCUGAAGGAUUUGCCUUCAACUGCAAUUAUAUUGUAUGCUGGCGAAACAAAACUAUCCAUAGCCGCUGCAUGUUUAUGCACAUGUCCUGAUUGAUUGAGGGGCCUGUCGUUCAGCAGUUAUCGUUUGUUGAUGUUGUUCAUUGGUAUUUUCCCGUUUGGAUAUACAUGAUAUAUAAAUUAGAUGGUUGGUUUUCCUGUUCGAAUUGUGUACGCUAAUAAUUUUGGGGUCCUUUAUAGCCUGCUGUUUGGUCUGUAUCAAAGCCCUGUGUAAAAGGCCGUACUUUGACCUGUGUUUGUUAUUAUCAGGUUGAGAACAACCCUCCCUCAGACAAGGGGUCAUUUUACUGAUGUAGAAAAGAAAAUAGAAAUACCAAGGAUUUUGUAUAGUUCUUCUAUACAAAACCUUUGAAAACUUAGAAUUUUGUACUCAAAAAGAGGAGAGUAACAUCAUAUUUUAAACAACUUUUUCUAAAAAAGGGGUCCAC
rnacentral:lncRNA from 1 species